ACUUAAAUUGAAGAGUUUGAUCAUGGCUCAGAUUGAACGCUGGCGGCAGGCCUAACACAUGCAAGUCGAGCGGUAGCACAGAGAGCUUGCUCUCGGGUGACGAGCGGCGGACGGGUGAGUAAUGUCUGGGAAACUGCCUGAUGGAGGGGGAUAACUACUGGAAACGGUAGCUAAUACCGCAUAACGUCGCAAGACCAAAGUGGGGGACCUUCGGGCCUCAUGCCAUCAGAUGUGCCCAGAUGGGAUUAGCUAGUAGGUGGG
rnacentral:rRNA from 1 species